UACGUAGGGUGCAAGCGUUAAUCGGAAUUACUGGGCGUAAAGCGUGCGUAGGCGGCUUUCUAAGUCGGGGGUGAAAUCCUGGAGCUCAACUCCAGAACUGCCUCGAUACUGGAAAGCUCGAGUCCGGGAGAGGUGAGUGGAACUGCGAGUGUAGAGGUGAAAUUCGUAGAUAUUCGCAAGAACACCAGUGGCGAAGGCGGCUCACUGGCCCGAUACUGACGCUGAGGCACGAAAGCGUGGGGAGCAAACAGG
rnacentral:rRNA from 1 species